rnacentral:rRNA from 1 species
UACGUAGGGGGCCAGCGUUGUCCGGAAUCAUUGGGCGUAAAGCGCGCGUAGGCGGCCAGACAAGUCCGGUGUGAAAGUCACAGGCUCAACCUGUGAAUGCCGCUGGAAACUGUCUGGCUAGAGUCCGGGAAGGGGCGAGUGGAAUUCCUGGUGUAGCGGGUGGAAAAUGCGCAGAUAUCAGGAGGAACACCUAGUGGCGA